GACGAACGCUGGCGGCGUGCUUAACACAUGCAAGUCGAACGGUAAGGCCCUUCGGGGUACACGAGUGGCGAACGGGUGAGUAACACGUGGGUGAUCUGCCCUGCACUUCGGGAUAAGCCUGGGAAACUGGGUCUAAUACCGGAUAGGACCACUGCCUGCAUGGGUGGUGGUGGAAAGCUUUUGCGGUGUGGGAUGGGCCCGCGGCCUAUCAGCUUGUUGGUGGGGUGAUGGCCUACCAAGGCGACGACGGGCAGCCGGCCUGAGAGGGUGACCGGCCACACUGGGACUGAGAUACGGCCCAGACUCCUACGGGAGGCAGCAGUGGGGAAUAUUGCACAAUGGGCGCAAGCCUGAUGCAGCGACGCCGCGUGAGGGAUGACGCCCUUCGGGUUGUAAACCUCUUUCAGCACCGACGAAGCGCAAGUGACGGUAGGUGCAGAAGAAGGACCGGCCAACUACGUGCCAGCAGCCGCCGUAA
rnacentral:rRNA from 1 species